rnacentral:lncRNA from 10 species
GGUAAAGACCUAGAGGUGAGGUCUCUGAGCAAGGGAGUCCCAUCCCAUCCUCUGCCCUCUGUUGGCUGUUGUCCUCUCAUCUUCAUCAGGAGAAUUAAAAUCAUGGCAUGGUGGCACACACCUGUAAUCCCAGCUACUCGGGAGGCCGAGGCAGGAGCAUUGCUUGUACCCAGGAGGCAGAGAUUGCAGUGAGCUGAGAUCACGCCAUUGCACUCCAGUCUGAGCAACAAGAGCAAAACUUCGUCUCAAAAAAAUAAAAAAUUAAAAAAUAACAAAAAAUGAGAC